UAAUUGAAGAGUUUGAUCAUGGCUCAGAUUGAACGCUGGCGGCAGGCUUAACACAUGCAAGUCGAGCGGUAGCACAGGGGAGCUUGCUCCCUGGGUGACGAGCGGCGGACGGGUGAGUAAUGUCUGGGAAACUGCCUGAUGGAGGGGGAUAACUACUGGAAACGGUAGCUAAUACCGCAUAACGUCGCAAGACCAAAGAGGGGGACCUUCGGGCCUCUUGCCAUCGGAUGUGCCCAGAUGGGAUUAGCUAGUAGGUGGGGUAA
rnacentral:rRNA from 1 species